GACGUAGGGUGCGAGCGUUGUCCGGAUUUAUUGGGCGUAAAGAGCUCGUAGGCGGCUCGUCGCGUCGACCGUGAAAACCCGCGGCUUAACUGCGGGCUUGCGGUUGAUACGGGCGGGCUAGAGUUCGGUAGGGGAGACUGGAAUUCCUGGUGUAGCGGUGAAAUGCGCAGAUAUCAGGAGGAACACCGGUGGCGAAGGCGGGUCUCUGGGCCGAUACUGACGCUGAUGCGCGAAAGCCAGGGGAGCGAACGGG
rnacentral:rRNA from 1 species